UCAGGCCUAACACAUGCAAGUCGAGGGGUAGCAGGGUAGCAAUACCGCUGACGACCGGCGCACGGGUGAGUAACACGUAUCCAACCUUCCCAUAACUCUGGGAUAGCCUUUCGAAAGAAAGAUUAAUACCGGAUGGUACUUUUUCAAGGCAUCUUGAGAAAGUUAAAGAUUUAUUGGUUAUGGAUGGGGAUGCGUUCCAUUAGAUAGUUGGUGAGGUAACGGCUCACCAAGUCUUCGAUGGAUAGGGGUUCUGAGAGGAAGGUCCCCCACAUUGGUACUGAGACACGGACCAAACUCCUACGGGAGGCAGCAGUGAGGAAUAUUGGUCAAUGGGCGAGACCUUAAGGGAGCCAAGUAGCGUGAAGGAUGAAGGUC
rnacentral:rRNA from 1 species